rnacentral:rRNA from 1 species
GAAACGGUAGCUAAUACCGCAUAACGUCGCAAGACCAAAGAGGGGGACCUUCGGGCCUCUUGCCAUCGGAUGUGCCCAGAUGGGAUUAGCUUGUUGGUGGGGUAACGGCUCACCAAGGCGACGAUCCCUAGCUGGUCUGAGAGGAUGACCAGCCACACUGGAACUGAGACACGGUCCAGACUCCUACGGGAGGCAGCAGUGGGGAA